rnacentral:rRNA from 1 species
GAUGAACGCUGGCGGCGUGCCUAAUACAUGCAAGUCGAGCGAACAGACGAGGAGCUUGCUCCUCUGACGUUAGCGGCGGAAGGGUGAGUAACGCGUGGAUAACCUACCUAUAAGACUGGGAUAACUUCGGGAAACCGGAACUAAUACCGGAUAAUAUAUUGAACCGCAUGGUUCAAUAGUGAAAGACGGUUUUGCUGUCACUUAUAGAUGGAUCCGCGCCGCAUUAGCUAGUUGGUAAGGUAACGGCUUACCAAGGCGACGAUGCGUAGCCAACCUGAGAGGGUGAUCGGCCACACUGGAACUGAGACACGGUCCAGACUCCUACGGGAGGCAGCAGUAGGGAAUCUUCCGCAAUGGGCGAAAGCCUGACGGAGCAACGCCGCGUGAGUGAUGAAGGUCUUCGGAUCGUAAAACUCUGUUAUUAGGGAAGAACAAAUGUGUAAGUAACUAUGCACGUCUUGACGGUACCUAAUCAGAAAGCCACGGCUAACUACGUG